AUGGGCUCCUGCACCUGUACCCUUCCCCAGGAGCAAGUGGGGGAAACUGGCUACUGAUUGUCAAUAUAAUAAAAGCAUUGUGGUGGAUAAGAGUGGUUCUGGUCAGUGGCUGAGGUUGCAGAGGACUCUCAAGGGACCACCCCAUGACAGGCAUCUAAUGAACAUCAGUCAUCACCUGAAGUGCAUCAAUAUCUAAGCAUGGUUGUGUUAAGGCAUAAAGAUAUUGUGGAUCCAUAUUCCCGUGGCCUCCUGAGUGCUUGUGAAGGGGAAGAACCACCUGGAAAGAGACUGAGACACAGAGUAAUGAAGAGACCUUCCCAAGACAAGUGAGUGGCAGAGCCAAGAAUAGAAUCUACAGCACCCUGUUCCAUACCCAUUCCAAGGAGCCCUAUCUAACGGCGACAAAAUGAAUAAUGAGGAAUACUUCAGAAACAACAGUGACAUUGCCCAAAUGCCAGGAAAAAGAGGGACAUAUGGAGAAUUCAAGAACAACUGAAAACACACAGGGAAAACAAAAAAGGGAGACUCCUCUGUAAUACAAAGCCGCUGAAUUAAACACUUGACAAAGGUGCAGGGGGAAACCGUGAAAAAAUCCCUUGCCUUUUGUUUUAAAAAACAGUGUGCAUUCGUUCUUAUCAGUGAUGGAUGAUUUGAUGUGUUAUGAAGUCAAAGAAACAUCAACAGAGCAUGAAACAAGGCAUCAGUGCCGGGGUGAAAAAAACUGACCCAGCGCUCUGCUUUUCAAAGAAUGGUAAAUGAUAAAACGGAGGCAAAGGUUGCUUUUUCUCAGCCUCCUGACAGACCACACUUUGUCUUGAAUUUCCUCUAAAAACACCUGCAUUAUUAUAUCCAUUAAGAAAAUACUCAAAGGGUCCUGAGGUAACAAAUGAUAUGAGAUAGGGGACCCUGAGCCAGGUGUACAAAGGAAUAUUUCUAGAGUUGAUAUUACAACUUUGCUGAAGACUUACGGGAAUUGCCUCAGGGUGUCGUCAUGUCAGCAAAGCAACUAGUACAGGGACAUAAAUGAAGGCAGCCCCAUUCAACUUUAUAUAGAAAAGAUUUCGACCCUCAUUGCUGUAUAUAUUGUGUAAAGGAAAUUGCUGGUAUUCCGACAGUCUGUGACAUUCCUUUUUUGUGCCUCUCCAGAAGAAAUGGGAAAGGAAGAAAUUUGUUCUCUGAGGAGAGGAAUUAGUUUUUAUGAUGAUUUAAUUAAAAUAAUGCACAAAGCCUUGUAAACUGGCAACACAAUUCAUAAACAUAGAUUAAGUAACACUCCCUACCCUAGGGCCUGAUCCUAAACACCUUGAAGCCAAAUAAACUGCUACAAUCUAAGGGAUUGAUUCUGCAAGGUGCUGAGUACCCUCAACUCCCACUGAAAUCAAUGUGAGGUAAAAGUACUCAGUACCUCAUGGAAUCAGGCUGUUUGUCUAGUCUGUCUUACACUCUACAAGACAGGAGACAUCAAUUCAAGCAAGGGAGAUUGGGAUAGAUAUUGGUAAGGCUAAAAAUGCAGGCAGGAUUCCUGGAAGAACUGCGUGUUAGAGAACUUCUUUUCUCUUUACUGUUUUUUUUAAAUUUAUUUUAACUGUAUCACAUCAAUAAAAAAUAUUGAUUCAUCUUGAUAAACAAGAAUAGGGAAAGAGAGAGAAGGAAAGGAUCUUAGACCCAAAACUUGUCAAUAAAGAGAUGUCAAAAGUAUUCCAGGAAAACACUGUCAAUGUUGAAAACUUCUAAAGAACUCAAGGACAAUGCAACCAUCAAAAAAAAAUUCUUCUUAAGACUCAACACCACAGGAGUCUCAUAAGAAUAUAUUUUGCAUCAAGAUUAAGAAAUUUCCAUAGAGGAGAAAAUAGCCUGUCAAUAAUAUAUUCUGAAAUUAGACAAGCAAUAAGUGUACUUAAUACAAUCAGACAAAGAGCUAUAUCCUCCCACCCUUACUUAAAUUUAAUAGCACCUUACUCAGCAAGUAACUCCAUCAAAGUGAGUGGGAUGAUUUGCAGAGAAAGGUGCUACUCGGUUUAAGUAAAGGUGGCAGAAUCUGGCCCAAAAUGUUUGACUACUCUUUUAGGGCUACAUUUUGAUACCAGAGCUCAUGUUAGUAGCAGUAAUAGUCCAUCACUGACAAUGAUAAUAUUGUCGCUAUUCUCAUAUUGGCUACGCAUAUAACUUUGAAGUCCUUACCCUGAUACACAGUCAGCCGCACUGAGGGCAUGAGAAGUCCACAUCCAUGAUGUUUGACGAUGCAGUUCUGUGAGGCCUUUCACAUGCACCCUGGAGAUGAUUUCAUCGAUCCCACUUGAACCUGUUGCAUGCUAAUUUUGUUAGAGACUGCCAGUGAGCCCUGUUCUGAGCCAUUUGAGAUUGAUGCCAGAGCACUGGAGACUGCUCUUCAAGUUAUCUCUGAAGCACUUAUAUGGACAAUGCUUCUUUCUUUUGCCCUGCCUCAACUCCCCAUACAGGAUCUGUUUUGGGAAGUGAUGGUCUUCUGUUCUGAUGACAUGUCCAGUUCAACUAAAUUGUGCUCUCAGUAGCAUUUCCUUGAUUCUGGUUGUGUUUGCUCUCUCAAGGACCUCAAUAUUCGUCACUCUGCCCUGCCAGCAAACACUCAUUAUUGAGUGGAGAGAACACAUGUGAAAUUGCUCAAGCUGUUUAAUAUGCUGUCUGUAAAAAGUCCAUGUCUCAGAAACAUACAGGGGAGAUGUUGGGACCACUUCACUGUAGAUCUUCAGUUUGGUGCAGAGAACAAUGUUAUGCUGGUUAAAGACUUUUGUUUGAGUCAGCCAACAGCCUGGCUGGCUUUACAAAUUCUGGAGGCAAUUUCCUUGUCAAGGGGACCAUUACUAGAUAUGGUACUGCCCAAAUACUUUAACUGAUCCACAUUUUUCAGCUAUGUGCCUUGGAUGGAGAUGGCUGUCACUGGGGCAUUGGAAUGAGAUGCUGGUUGGAACAAGAUCUCUGUCUUCCCGAGACUGGUGAUAAGGCUAAAGAGCUGGGAUGCUUCAUAAAAUCUAUCAAGGAUGACCUGAAGGUUAUGAUGUCUAUGGACCAUCAGGGCACAGUCAUCUACAAAAGUGCCUCGAUGAGAAAUCUCUCCAGCAUCUUGGUCUUAGCAUUACGUCUUCAAGAUCAAAGAGAGCCAUCGAGUCAGCAGCAAGUCCCCUGAUCCAAGUCCCUUGUGGCAUGGCUGAGGACACAGGCAAAGAAAAGUUGAACAACACUGGAGCAAGUAUGCAGCCUUGCUUCACUCCAUUCAAGAUUUCAGUGUUGAAUAGAACCUUACCCCACUACAAGUGCAACUGAAAUCGACUGGGCUACUUGUGGAGUACCAUGCUGCCAGUCUGAGUAAGGGUAUCAGAAAGUGCUCUUUAAUCAUCUAAAUAUCAUUAUGGGCUAGAUGAUGGGACCUUACUCCAUGAGUAAUCUCAUUGGAGUCAGUGGAACUACUCAUGGAGUACAGUGCUAUUCAACAUGACAGUGUUAGAAUCUGGCCUUUUAUAAAUAAAUUCCAUGCUAGAGCCAACUUACAUUGUCCUCCUAUUUUACUUCCAAUUAUUAUUCAAAUUUCACCAAAAUAGUUAAUGUUACCCCUGCUAUAGGAAGCACAGAAUCAAACAUAGCCUCAGCAUGUGAAACGUUGAGGUCAUCAUUACCACCAUUAACAUCUGCUUUUAAAAAAUAGUCCUUCAGAAAUUCCCACCCGCAUAACUAACAACAGUUAUCUUUGCAGGGGUUAGCUCUUUUCUAGGCAAGCCU